rnacentral:misc_RNA from 1 species
UACCACACAGGAAGUACGUCGUGGGAAGUAAACCGGUGUCAACAUGAAGAAAUAUUGACGAAUAUUAUCUGAAGUGAAAUCACAGUACCGUCCCUUUAAUGUGAAAUAUCGUAAGGUGCUGUUGUCCCUCAACAUGAUGUAAAUUGCUGCGGUUGCUGGUGAAGACGUUCAUAUAAUGGUGUUUUCUCUGAGUUACGAGGAGUACUUUGACUCAUUAAAGAUGCCGGAGAUAACGCUGAUGAAUCUUGUGAGCUGGGUUGCUGCCACAGCCAUGAUAUUUGGCGGUGUUGUGCCGUUCAUUCCUCAGUAUAUGGACAUACAAAGGACCAAGAAUGCAGAGGGGUUUUCUCUCUUUGUUUGUUUAACAUUACUCAUUGCCAACAUUCUAAGGAUAAUGUUCUGGUUCGGCAAGCAUUUUGAGUUGCCGCUGCUGGCUCAGAGCAUCAUCAUGACCGGCACCAUGAUGUUGAUGGUACGCCUGUGUGUCAACAUCAAGCAUAAGAGUGAGAUCAUCUCCUCCAAACCCAGGUACUUCAUGGAUUCUAAACACUGGGAAGGCCACGGUGGCUCAUCACAUACGUUGCUGGAUUUUGAUCUUGACUACUUCUGGAAGUGGACGGACUUCCUGAGCUAUGUGGAGUUCAUGGCCACCUUCACCGUGGCGGUGGGGAUGCUCACCUACCUCCUGCUGGACUUCACCGUCUACAUUGAGACCAUUGGCUUCCUGGCGGUGUUCGCAGAGGCCAUGCUGGGAGCACCACAGUUCUACCGCAACUACCAGAAUAAAUCAACUGUAGGCAUGAGCAAGAAGAUGGUGGGUUUCUGGACAAUGGGAGACAUCUUUAAAACAAUCUAUUUCAUCCUGAGGUCAUCCCCAGCCCAGUUCUGGAUCUGCGGGAUGCUGCAGGUGUCCAUUGACAUCUCCAUCUUCGUCCAAGUGUACAUGUAUCGCCAUCACCCUCCAGCCAAGGUCAUCAAGUCUGCCAGAAGCUGACCUUGACUCUAAGGUCACAUAAUUAUUGUUGAACUGUUUAGAGGAUCACCACUCAAGCAAGCAUAAUUGGCCAAUAAUAAAGAGAUUUGGUCAAUCUCAUCUACAUCUGAUGUUUACUCCUGUACUUUUCUGCAGGGAGAUCUGACGAUACCUGCAUUGGAAGUCGCUUCAGGUGAACUUUUAAAUCAGCCAAGUCUUGCUCUACAAGUGAGCUAAGCAUUCAGACUGGCACAUCUGAUUUCUAUAUCUUGAAAAAAAAUAUAGUCAGGCAGUUCCAAGUGUAAAAAAUGAAACCAUGCUGUUAUUUUGUUGUGUAUAUUUUAUGCAUUCUGACAUUUCUGAGUGCCAUGGGUGUACUAUCAAGGGUAUAUUUGUGUUCUGUGGCGGAUUUCUUUUGCUAAGAUCGAAAUUUCUGACAUCUGAUUAGCUGAAGAACCCAUGAAUCAUGAACUUAGAUUGGGAAUUCAAAGUUUCUAUGCAGUUGUCCGCAGAUCUUGAUGCAGAGAGUUAUCGUACAAGAGUACACAUCUGAUGUCAAUGAGAUUGGGAUGUGCACUGUCGGAGGUGGUGUGGUCCUGAGAGUGUGAUAUGCUACAUAUCCCUGUGGUCCAUGUGAGAGUCUGUGUUAUACAUGAGGGUUAGCAUAGUGGUACACUGGUAGUAGAUGCAUUUAAUUUCUGAGAUGAAGGACGGCCCAUAUUUGUUAUAUGUCUGGUUAUGUCAUGUCUACGGUAUUAUAUGUACAGCCUUGGAAAUUCCUUGUUUUAUGACCAGUGCAAAUGUUACUAGUCAUUGAGGACUACUGUCAUUGAGCUUGGAUUUUAUAUACUGUUUGUAGACAUCAUAUAUGAUAGAUAAUAUAUCAUGUAUUGUACAUGAGCUAUAUCAUAUAUUAUCACUGAGCGAUCAUAAAUUGUCAGUGAGCUGUCAUAUAUUGUCCAUGAGCUAUCACAUAUUAUCACUGAGUGAUCAUAAAUUGUCAGUGAGCUGUCAUAUAUUGUCCAUGAGCUGUCACAUUUGGUCAUUGAACUGUCACGUAUGGUCAAUGAACUGUCACGUAUGGUCAAUGAACUGUCAUGUAUGGUCAGUGAACAGUCAUGUAUGGUCAGUGAACAGUCACGUAUGGUCAGUGAACUGUCACAUAUGGUCAAUGAACUGUCACGUCCAUGAACUGCCACGUGUGGUCCAUGAACUGUCAAGUCCAUGAACUGCCACGUGUGGUCCAUGAACUGCCACGUGUGGUCCAUGAACUGUCACGUCCAUGAACUGCCACGUGUGGUCAAUGAACUGUCACGUCCAUGAACUGCCACGUGUGGUCCAUGAACUGUCACGUAUGGUCCAUGAACUGUCAUGUAUGGUCCAUGAACUGUCACGUAUGGUCCAUGAACUGUCACGUAUGGUCAGUGAACUGUCACGUAUGGUCCAUGAACUGUCACGUCCAUAAACAGUCACGUCCAUGAACUGCCACUUAUGUUCAUGAACUGUCAUGUAUGGUCCAUGAACUGUCAUGUCCAUGAACUGCCACGUGUGGUCCAUGAACUGUCAUGUAUGGUCCAUGAACUGUCAUGUAUGGUCAGUGAACUGUCAGGUAUGGUCCAUGAACUGUCACGUCCAUGAACUGCCACGUGUGGUCCAUGAACUGUCAUGUAUGGUCCAUGAACUGUCAUGUAUGGUCCAUGAACUGCCACGUGUGGUCCAUGAACUGUCAUGUAUGGUCCAUGAACUGUCAUGUUUGGUCCAUGAACUGCCACGUGUGGUCCAUGAACUGUCACGUGUGGUCCAUGAACUGUCACGUCCAUGAACUGUCAUGUAUGGUCCAUGAACUGUCCAACUGCCACGUGUGGUCCAUGAACUCUCAUGUAUGGUCCAUGAACUGUCAUGUAUGGUCCAUGAACUGCAACGUGUGGUCCAUGAACUGCCACGUGUGGUCCAUGAACUGUCACGUCCAUGAACUGCCACGUGUGGUCCAUGAACUGUCACGUCCAUGAACUGCCACGUGUGGUCCAUGAACUGUCACGUAUGGUCCAUGAACUGUCACGUCCAUGAACUGCCAUGUGUGGUCCAUGAACUGUCAUGUAUGGUCCAUGAACUGUCAUGUAUGGUCCAUGAACUGUCAUGUAUGGUCCAUGAACUGCCACGUGUGGUCCAUGAACUGUCAUGUAUGGUCCAUGAACUGCCACGUGUGGUCCAUGAACUGUCAUGUAUGGUCCAUGAACUGUCACGUGUGGUCCAUGAACUGUCACGUCCAUGAACUGCCACGUGUGGUCCAUGAACUGUCACGUCCAUGAACUGCCACGUGUGGUCCAUGAACUGUCAUGUAUGGUCCAUGAACUGUCACGUCCAUGAACUGCCACGUGUGGUCCAUGAACUGUCAUGUAUGGUCCAUGAACUGUCAUGUAUGGUCAGUGAACUGUCACGUAUGGUCCAUGAACUGUCACGUCCAUAAACUGCCACGUGUGGUCCAUGAACUGUCAUGUAUGGUCCAUGAACUGUCAUGUAUGGUCCAUGAACUGCCACGUGUGGUCCAUGAACUGUCAUGUAUGGUCCAUGAACUGUCACGUCCAUGAACUGCCACGUGUGGUCCAUGAACUGUCAUGUGUGGUCCAUGAACUGUCACGUCCAUGAACUGCCACGUGUGGUCCAUGAACUGUCAUGUAUGGUCCAUGAACUGUCAUGUAUGGUCAGUGAACUGUCAGGUAUGGUCCAUGAACUGUUACGUCCAUGAACUGCCACGUGUGGUCCAUGAACUGUCACGUAUGGUCCAUGAACUGUCAUGUAUGGCCCAUGAACUGUCACAUAUGGUCUAUGAACUGUCACGUAGGGUCCAUGAACUUUCACGUAGGGUCCAUGAACUGUCACGUUUGGUCAGUGAACUGUCACGUAUGGUCAGUGAACUGUCACGUAUGGUCAGUGAACUGUCACGUAUGGUCUAUGGGAUGUGAUUUAUGAUGUUUGGACAGAUCAAGUUAUGGGUACACCUUUAAUAAAUUCUAAGAAUUUUUAUUCCACGGUGGGUAUUAAAAUGGACACUGUCAGUCCUAGGUGUCGUUUCCGGAACAGAUCUUGAAAACCUUAGAAUAUUUUUUCACCAAACUUGGCACAUAGAUAGGUCUAGUUGUGAACUGGUGCCUUUUUUUUCCAAAAACAUAUUUUUCGAGUUUCCGUGGCAACAACUUUGACUUUGGUUGGAAAUGGCGAUAGUGCUUGUUUAUAUAAACUAGUUGACGUAUUAACAGCAAAUAUUUACCUUUGCAAGGGAUUUCAAUGACUUUGUCCUCUUGUUUUCAUUUUCAAGUUUGAUGGUUGUUGUAGCAACUACCAGUAGUCUUCAUGAAGUGUCUAACUCAUUACCAUGUGAUGGAGGAAACACUUGGGAUGUCGCAGUUUUGCAUGAAUGUUUUUUGCGAAUGUUAUAGUUUUUUGGACAAUACUGCAGGCUGUCAAUAACAUUAACUAGGAUUACAAAUAUGGGUGUGCACAGUUUUUAAAACAGUUUGGAAUGCUAACCAACCGCAACUGGUUAUCUGAGAAAUUGUGACAGACCUAGUAACAUUGUCUUGGAACAUAUAGCUCAUAGACAACAUAUCAUAGCUCAUAGACAACAUAUCAUAGCUCAUAGACAAUAUAUCAUAGCUCAUAGACGACAUAUCAUAGCUCAUAGACGACAUAUCAUAGCUCAUAGACGACAUAUCAUAGCUCAUAGACGACAUAUCAUAGCCCAUUGACUAUAUGUGAUAGCUUGUGGAUCAUAUGUGACAGCUCAUAGACCAGGCCCAGCAAUAUGACAAUACAGUCUAUGGCCUGUCAGGUGUGAGCUAAUAUUUUGAACUUGUGUUUAUUGUUGAUAAAAUCAUUCAUGUAUAACCUGGUCUGUGAUCAGUCAUGUACUGUCUGGGGUCUACCAUGUUUCAUCUACGAUCUACCAUGUAUGGUCUUUGAUCUGUUAUCUUUCAUGUAUUGUCUAGGGUCUACCAUGUUUCAUCUACGAUCUACCAUGUAUGGUCUUUGGUCUUUUAUCUUUCAUGUAUUGUCUAGGGUCUACCAUGUUUCAUCUACGAUCUACCAUGUAUGGUCUUUGAUCUGUUAUCUUUCAUGUGUCUAGGGUUUCUCACGUAUUGUCCAAGGUCUGUUAAGUUUCAUUAUACCUAUGGCCCACUCCACAAAGCGAUCUUUAGUCGUAAGUCUUUGCUAAGUAUCAAGUUACGGUCAUCUUUGUGGAACGGGGCUUGUGUGGGCUGAUUGAUAAGAUGUACACCAAACAGUUCUUAAGCCCAACAUUGUGCAAUCCUUCACGUUGAUUCCUCAGGAUGAGUUGUAGACUGUUAUAUCAUGUAAUCAUGAGUUUGUGGUUUAGAAGCUUGUUGCUGUAGCUACAGGACUUUGCCAGUCUGUGACAUAGAAAGUCAUCUAUAAACAAUGGUGUUCUAGCUGUAGGAAAUUAGAAUAUUCUGCAUCCCAGCAUCUUCCCGAGGCAAGGGAGUUACUAACUAUAAAAAGCUAGUCCAAUCAAAAUCGUGUAAACGAACUAGACAUCCCUUUCGUUAACAACAUGGAUUUCAACGUGCAGAUUUCGGUUGACUGCAGGAUUUGCAAAGCUUGUGUACCGUCCACGGCAAAUGUUUUCAUGAUUUUAAUCAAGGUGCUCAAGUGAUUUGAUGCACUUCACUGGGUAAGAGCAGUUUUAUUACAAACAGACCUGGAUUACCGAUCAGAUCGUCUUGACUGGGCAACACCAUUCCUUUUGAAGCAAAUACAAGUGAUAUGAGAGAUGGAAUCUGAUUGGUCAAUAGGAGGGCCAUGGAAGGGACAUAACUCGUGAUAGUCACUGGUGGCGCAACAAUCGAGCCCAGAAAUUCCAGCCAAGUUUGGCAAGGGUAGAAACUGGACAUUAAAAGUCAGGUAACGCCCUUGUCUCGGGAAGGUGCAUAUCCAGUGGGCUAGAAAACAUAUUCCUGAUAUCUGUUUAUUGGGAUAUCCUUUUCAGUUUACUUGCUUUUUCAUUAUCAAACUGACAAAACAUGGUAUAUACUGUUUAACACAAACCCACUUUACUCACUGAAUACGGGUCACCACCUCUUGGUGUUCUUUGACAAGUCAAGAUUUGUACGAGUAUUGCACUUGGUGCUGGAUAGUGAAAACCUAUAGGAGGUAGGGAUUAGGUUUAAUGAAGCUGUGUUAAGAUAUACAGACUGAGACUAUAUGCCGGUUAAUGCUGAUGGCAGUUUUUCAUUAAACUAUGACAUGGAUGUGAGCAGGUUUAAUUAUUCUAAGAUGGCAUUGUACUUCUGGGAAGACAGGUAUAGUUGUUAGUUAAAAGGCAUACAAAUUCAAUAUUUUAAUCAGAAUGUUAGAUUCCGGUAGUCCAAAUCAUAUCGUACCCUAAAUAUGUCAGUAAAUGGAAACAGUGUUAUGGGCAUAAGGACAGUCCCGGGGAUGGGAGAUUUCCAUCUAAAGUAAAAAAAACUAAACUAAAAAAAGAACUUUAAUAAGUUCCCAGGGCAAACAUAUUCAUCCUGUUCAUGAUAAUAAUCACCUUGAUACAUGUGUAUUCCUCUACUUUUUCCCGAAUACAUUGGCCACAGAUCUUAUGACACGUUACCUUUAGCCUUUUUAGACAGAACUUCUACUUCUGUCAACAUGGCACCUGUCACUGCAUAAUAUCAAACUGAUGCUUCAGGGAAUACUUCUUCCAACCAUGAAGUGGUGGCACUUUACGUUGUAUUGGCUCACCUGAAUUGAAGUUCUUUCAUGAAACCUGAUAAAUAUAACCGUAAGGAAAAAUCAAACUGCUUCAAAUGGUAUGUUUUGGAUGGUCAAAAUGGUGAAGAGAAAUAUGCUGUGAAACCCUGUUAAUUCAGACCCUUCUGAUCUGGCAAGAUCCUGCUUUUUAUCAGUUUUCCUCAUGAUAGGAUCUUGGUUUAGAGUUAUCUCCCUUUAGUCAUACAUUGCAUUGUGUGAUAGAUAAUCCCAAAUAAGGGAUGUCCUGUCUAACUGGGUCUGGAUUAAAAAGGUUUCAGUGUGUAUAUUGUGCUUUAAUAUAAUAAUAUCAAAAAUAUAUGGGCAAAUAGUGAUAGAUGUCUUAUUUUGUUGAGACUGUAGAGGGCAGCUGAUAUUUCCGAUUCAGAGUCCUGUUUCAUGGAGUAGUAGCAUUAUGGAUAUCUUACUUCUGUAUUAAACAGUGGGAGCGCGACCAUCGCUUUGUGAAAUAGCCACCUGUGUUAACAACAUUGUAAACCCUCACAAGUGAGGGUAUGUGUCCUCAUCUCCUCAGGUGUGAAAAUGACUCAUGAAUAUGUCAGUUUUACAUUAGCAUUAUGUUAUGUUAUGUAUAUUAAGAGCAAUAGCAACAGCCAGUCAGAUCAUGGAGUUGUCUAGAUGAAAUAAAUAAAUAAAUAAAUACAUGUAAAUAAAUAAAUAAAUAAAUAAAUAAAUAAAUAAAUACAUGUAAAUAAAUAAAUAAAUAAAUAAAUAAAUAAAUAAAUACAUGUAAAUAAAUAAAUAAAUAAACUUCGUUUGUUUAAAUAGUUGCAUGUGUGAAGAUCAUUUGAAAAGUGUUUGUGUACAACAAAGACGCCGGACACAUGCCUGAAAAUUCAAUGGUUGUCCCCUUAGGCAAGUGUCAGCAGGGUUGUAUAUUGUACAUGUAGUGAGUGUUAUGUGCUGCAGCCAGUGUGAAGUGCCUUACUGCAGCAGUGUUGGGCUGGCUUGUACUUGUAGCAGAAAAUACCAGCGUCCUGGACACCUGGUUCAUCCUCGACUACCCAGGGUAUUAUAUCUAGUUUCUAUUUGGAUAAAUACCCUGGACCCAUUCGCUGUAUUUGCUUUGUUUUAAGCUUGAUUUAAAAAGCAAAUUUCUCUCAUGAGCGAGAAGAAUUCUGCCCUAAGUUAGGCAUAGGAGUGAUUGACAUCAUGUCUAAAAUGAAGCUAUGGUCCAGGGUAUUUAUGAUGGAAUUGAACUGUCGUACACUGCAUAGUUGAGGAUGGGUUCAGUUGGAAGUAGUUUUGCUUUAUUUCUCACGUAUUAAAGGCCACACUUUGUUUUACUUGCUUUACGGAUAUUGCAACAGAAAUAUUUUCUAAACAAGGACCCACUUGACAUAUAUUAAACAUCAGAGUCAAAAUAAAGUUUGUUGUCAAACCUGAAAUUGAUAGGAUGCUUUGAUGCACAGCAGUAUUCCUGCUAGAUUCGUCAGGUUUGCACUGCUUACAUCAAAAGCAGGCUCUCCUCCCACAUUUUAUCCACCUGUAGUGGAGGAGAUAACUUAUUUUUUCUCAUGAAUUUUGUUUUUUGUUGUUAUUUUGUUUUCCCACCUACCGACAGGUAUUUCCUAUAAACAAUCUGUAAAGCAAGUUAAAAAAGUGGUCUAAUGUAUGUUGCUUGAAAGUAGAAUGAGUUACAGAGAGAAUUAGUUAGACACAGCUGUGAACAUUAUUUCAUUUACAUCACAUGUGUGCUAACGAUGGAAUCCUGUCCUCCCCCUAUAAUGACCAUACCCCUGCUUGUGGGUUUCACUAAAGUGGUAGACAUCGAUGACUUGCAUCAAGCUGACACACUGUGAUGUAACUGAACACUGUUCAAAGCCACUGACUCUCUGUACCAUAUAUUAUCAGUAGAGAUAAUGCCAACAGUCAGAUCACUCCAGAAACAUUAAUGAAAUGAGAUUUUGAAAUGAUAAUGUUUAUAGAAUCUGAAAUAAUAUGAAAAACUGAAAUCUUAUCGCAUGCAAUUCACUUUACAAAAUGCCAAGGCAGUCCCUAUCGAUUAAUUAGAGGUUCUUGGUGUUCAUAUUUUUUGUGUAGAUUAGCCCAGUUGGAAACACAAAACCAGGCUUUUAUUGAUGAAUCUGAUGUUGAACUGGACAUGGCUUCUGUCCAGCACCUGCCUUCAUUAUAUGCAUCUGUGUUGUUUGGUGACCAGAAAAUCUGUUAUUUUGGGACCAGCUUGUUUUUAUGGUUUUAGUCCCGAGUGACAUGCUCACUGUGCAUGCUGCCCCAUCAGCCUGUGUAUUCCUGGGAGAUGGGCAGCGACACCCACUAUUUUUAUAUGCUGUAGAUAUGGUACUUUCAAGACACCAAAUAAAUCAUUAAACAUCA